GGGCACAGCGUGAGGGCCGCCGUUGCUGGAGUUCAGCUUAGGGAAGGAGGACUCUGAGGAGGCCCCGAGCGGCGGAGCGCUUCGGGGGAGGCGCCCGCGCAGACGCGAGGCCCAUAGCCAGGACCACCACCUAGCUGAUUCUUGAUGACAUUGGUCGGGAAAACUCGCCUUUCACGGCCCGGCCAAGGGGCAUUUGGGUGCUUUUGCUGCCCGUGGCUGUGCUCAGCGUUGUGGGAAGCCCCUGGGAGGCCGAAUGUGCAGGAUCACCGAGGGGAAAGUGAGCUUGACAGUUCUACAGUCUGGGGACGACGGUUUAAAAAUUUAUGCCUUGCAUGCGAUGUGCAGUGGGUGAUGGAAGAACGUCUACAUGGCUUUAAAAUUGGAUUUAAAAGGCAAAUAUUUUAAAUGAAGGAAAACCCAAGAAGUUUACUUGAUUCCUUAUCUUCCAGGAUGCGACUUUUGUUUAUUUAUUUAUUUUAUUUUGAUGGAGUCUCGCUGCCGUCGCGCAGGCUGGAGUGCAGUGACGCGAUCUUGACCCGGGAACCUCCACCUCCCGGGUUCAAGCGAUUCUCCUUCCUCAACCACCCGAGUAGCUGGGAUUACAGGCGUGUGCCACCAUGCCCGGCUAAUUUUUGUGUUUUUAGUAGAGACCGGGGAAGGUAUGGGCCCUCUUUUGAGAAAAAUGCAGAGUGACACUGAAUUUUGUAACUACAUCAGGAGGCUCUUGAACCUUCUGCAGCUCACUCGUGGAGUUUGUAGAGAUGCGUAAUAAUCCGAAGUGUUAAGGAAGAAGGUUCUGUUGAGAAAAAGUUGGAGGGCUGAAAGGGAUGCCUUUCGCUAUUUCGACAUGUGUGGCUGUACCCCAGAGUGCCCUGGCUAACACGCAAAACCAUGAAUUAGGCGGCUUGGCGAGGCUCAGUGGAGGCUGGGGCCGAGAGUCAUGUCAAAGUUUGUGGGGUUAACCUGCACCCAGUGACAGUCAUGGCGAAGUUUGUGAGGUUAACUCGCACCCAGUAACGCUGUUCCAAUGCAAGGUGUGUAUUUGGUGUCAUCCACGGGAAGAGGAAACAGCAAAUUUUCUCAUGGCCUUGGCAGUUCCACAUGAUGGACAUUUCAUAUCUGCAGUUUUCUUCGCAUGAGAUGGCUUUUUUGCACAAAAACACUGGAAUCCAGUGAGCAAGAAUGAUAGAAUGCAAGAUGGAUUUCCACAUGAGGAAGUGUCACGAACAAGCGUUUUGCAUCUCUGUCAGCUGGAUUCCCCCAUGUGGAGAGACCCACCGACCCUGUGGGGCUGGUCCCUACAUCUGGCGCUCUGACGUGGGGCUCUCCCUCGCUGUGUGAAGUUGCACCCUGAGUGCGGGAUCAGCGGAGGAGUUCAACGAGAGAUUCCUGAGGAUUGCAGUCUAUAAACUUGGUGUCUGCAGAUGCCUCUAAGGAGUCCGAAACCAAGUCCGAAGUCAACAACAAGCAAUGAUGGCGAUGGCGAUUCUAGUUAAUAAAAAGGGGGGAGAUGUGGGCGGCAAGCCACCCAGGCACCGAGGCAAGAGACAGAGGACACGAGCUGUUCCAGUAUAAUAAAAUAUAAAACAAGAA
ensembl:lncRNA ERVK13-1 endogenous retrovirus group K13 member 1